UACGAAGGGGGCUAGCGUUGCUCGGAAUCACUGGGCGUAAAGCGCACGUAGGCGGCUUUCUAAGUCAGGGGUGAAAUCCUGGAGCUCAACUCCAGAACUGCCUUUGAUACUGGAGAGCUUGAGUCCGGAAGAGGUGAGUGGAACUCCGAGUGUAGAGGUGAAAUUCGUAGAUAUUCGGAAGAACACCAGUGGCGAAGGGCGCUCACUGGUCCGGUAUUGACGCUGAGGUGCGAAAGCGUGGGGAGCAAACAGG
rnacentral:rRNA from 1 species